rnacentral:ribozyme from 1 species
AAGACACGAAGAAAGAAAGAAAAGAAAGAAAGAAAGACAGACAGAGAGGAACACCGGCACAAAACCAGAAAGACAAACAGAACCUUCCCUUCCAAGUUGUUUCUUUUUUGCUCUCU